rnacentral:tRNA from 1 species
GGAGAGAUGGCUGAGUGGUUGAAAGCGCUCGACUCGAAAUCGAGUAGGCAGGUUAUUCUGUCUCGUGGGUUCAAAUCCCACUCUCUCCGCCA